GACGAACGCUGGCGGCGUGCUUAACACAUGCAAGUCGAACGAUGUAGCCCAGCUUGCUGGGUGGAAGAGUGGCGAACGGGUGAGUAACACGUGAGUAACCUGCCUAUCACUCUGGGAUAAGCGCUGGAAACGGCGUCUAAUACUGGAUACGACCUAUCACCGCAUGGUGUGUGGGUGGAAAGAUUGAUCGGUGGUAGAUGGACUCGCGGCCUAUCAGCUUGUUGGUGAGGUAAUGGCUCACCAAGGCGACGACGGGUAGCCGGCCUGAGAGGGUGACCGGCCACACUGGGACUGAGACACGGCCCAGACUCCUACGGGAGGCAGCAGUGGGGAAUAUUGCACAAUGGGCGCAAGCCUGAUGCAGCAACGCCGCGUGAGGGACGACGGCCUUCGGGUUGUAAACCUCUUUUAGUAGGGAAGAAGCGAAAGUGACGGUACCUGCAGAAAAAGCACCGGCUAACUACGUGCCAGCAGCCGCAGUAA
rnacentral:rRNA from 1 species